GCGGGGGGUAGCUUGCUACCUCGCCGGUCGAUUGGCGGACGGGUGAGUAAUGCCUGGGGAGCUGCCCAAUCGAGGGGGAUACCAGUUGGAAACGACUGCUAAUACCGCAUACGCCCUGAGGGGGAAAGGUGGGGAUCUUCGGACCUACCGCGAUUGGAUGCGCCCAGGUGGGAUUAGCUAGUUGGUGAGGUAACGGCUCACCAAGGCGACGAUCUCUAGCUGGUCUGAGAGGAUGACCAGCCACACUGGAACUGAGACACGGUCCAGACUCCUACGGGAGGCAGCAGUGGGGAAUAUUGCACAAUGGGGGAAACCCUGAUGCAGCCAUGCCGCGUGUGUGAAGAAGGCCUUCGGGUUGUAAAGCACUUUCAGUCAGGAGGAAAGGUGGCUAGCUAAUACCUAGUUGCUGUGACGUUACUGACAGAAGAAGCACCGGCUAACUCCGUGCCAGCAGCCGCGGUAAUACGGAGGGUGCAAGCGUUAAUCGGAAUUACUGGGCGUAAAGCGCGCGUAGGCGGCUUAGUAAGUUGGAUGUGAAAGCCCCGGGCUCAACCUGGGAACUGCAUCCAAAACUGCUUGGCUAGAGUACAGUAGAGGGUGGUGGAAUUUCCUGUGUA
rnacentral:rRNA from 1 species